UUGCUGCAUGCCCUUGUGGAGCAGAUCAUGUUGCGAGAACCACGUUUGGCCACCUUUUUCCUGGAGCUUGCAGAAUUCGAGACUGUUCCUGGAGCUUCAGUUAAAGGUCUGACAGCAGAGGUGGACGUAGUGAAGAAUGAAUUUCAGAAGAUCGUCCAGUACAGGAAAACAUACGGUAAAAGUAAAAACGAAGUCAAUCAGCAC